rnacentral:rRNA from 1 species
AGAGUUUGAUCCUGGCUCAGGACGAACGCUGGCGGCGUGCCUAAUACAUGCAAGUCGAGCGGACGGAAGGGAGCUUGCUCCCGGAAGUCAGCGGCGGACGGGUGAGUAACACGUGGGUAACCUGCCUGUAAGACUGGGAUAACUCCGGGAAACCGGGGCUAAUACCGGAUAGCUUUUUCCUCCGCAUGGAGGAAGAAUGAAAGGCGGCCUUUGGCUGUCACUUACAGAUGGACCCGCGGCGCAUUAGCUAGUUGGUGGGGUAACGGCUCACCAAGGCAACGAUGCGUAGCCGACCUGAGAGGGUGAUCGGCCACACUGGGACUGAGACACGGCCCAGACUCCUACGGGAGGCAGCAGUAGGGAAUCUUCCGCAAUGGACGAAAGUCUGACGGAGCAACGCCGCGUGAGUGAAGAAGGUUUUCGGAUCGUAAAGCUCUGUUGUCAGGGAAGAACAAGUACCGGAGUCACUGCCGGUACCUUGACGGUACCUGACCAGAAAGCCACGGCUAACUACGUGCCAGCAGCCGCGGUAAUACGUAGGUGGCAAGCGUUGUCCGGAAUUAUUGGGCGUAAAGCGCGCGCAGGCGGCCUUUUAAGUCUGAUGUGAAAGCCCACGGCUCAACCGUGGAGGGUCAUUGGAAACUGGAAGGCUUGAGUGCAGAAGAGGAGAGCGGAAUUCCACGUGUAGCGGUGAAAUGCGUAGAGAUGUGGAGGAACACCAGUGGCGAAGGCGGCUCUCUGGUCUGUAACUGACGCUGAGGCGCGAAAGCGUGGGGAGCGAACAGGAUUAGAUACCCUGGUAGUCCACGCCGUAAACGAUGAGUGCUAAGUGUUGGAGGGUUUCCGCCCUUCAGUGCUGCAGCUAACGCAUUAAGCACUCCGCCUGGGGAGUACGGCCGCAAGGCUGAAACUCAAAGGAAUUGACGGGGGCCCGCACAAGCGGUGGAGCAUGUGGUUUAAUUCGAAGCAACGCGAAGAACCUUACCAGGUCUUGACAUCCUCUGACACCUCUGGAGACAGAGCAUUCCCCUUCGGGGGACAGAGUGACAGGUGGUGCAUGGUUGUCGUCAGCUCGUGUCGUGAGAUGUUGGGUUAAGUCCCGCAACGAGCGCAACCCUUGACCUUAGUUGCCAGCAUUCAGUUGGGCACUCUAAGGUGACUGCCGGUGACAAACCGGAGGAAGGUGGGGAUGACGUCAAAUCAUCAUGCCCCUUAUGACCUGGGCUACACACGUGCU